rnacentral:tRNA from 1 species
AGGUGAGUAGCUCAACUGGUAGAGCACUGGUCUCCAAAACCAGCGGUUGCGGGUUCAAGUCCUGCCUCACCUGCCA